GAUGAACGCUGGCGGCGUGCCUAAUACAUGCAAGUCGAGCGAACAGACGAGGAGCUUGCUCCUUUGACGUUAGCGGCGGACGGGUGAGUAACACGUGGGUAACCUACCUAUAAGACUGGGAUAACUUCGGGAAACCGGAGCUAAUACCGGAUAAUAUUUCGAACCGCAUGGUUCGAUAGUGAAAGAUGGCUUUGCUAUCACUUAUAGAUGGACCUGCGCCGUAUUAGCUAGUUGGUAAGGUAACGGCUUACCAAGGCAACGAUACGUAGCCGACCUGAGAGGGUGAUCGGCCACACUGGAACUGAGACACGGUCCAGACUCCUACGGGAGGCAGCAGUAGGGAAUCUUCCGCAAUGGGCGAAAGCCGGACGGAGCAACGCCGCGUGAGUGAUGAAGGUCUUCGGAUCGUAAAACUCUGUUAUUAGGGAAGAACAAACGUGUAAGUAACUGUGCACGUCUUGACGGUACCUAAUCAGAAAGCCACGGCUAACUACGUG
rnacentral:rRNA from 1 species